rnacentral:rRNA from 1 species
GCUUAACACAUGCAAGUCGAACGGGCACCUUCGGGUGUCAGUGGCAGACGGGUGAGUAACACGUGGGAACAUACCCUUUGGUUCGGAACAACUCAGGGAAACUUGAGCUAAUACCGGAUACGCCCUUACGGGGAAAGAUUUAUUGCCGAAGGAUUGGCCCGCGUCUGAUUAGCUAGUUGGUGAGGUAACGGCUCACCAAGGCGACGAUCAGUAGCUGGUCUGAGAGGAUGAUCAGCCACACUGGGACUGAGACACGGCCCAGACUCCUACGGGAGGCAGCAGUGGGGAAUAUUGGACAAUGGGCGAAAGCCUGAUCCAGCCAUGCCGCGUGAGUGAUGAAGGCCUUAGGGUUGUAAAGCUCUUUCGACGGGGACGAUAAUGACGGUACCCGUAGAAGAAGCCCCGGCUAACUUCGUGCCAGCAGCCGCGGUAAUACGAAGGGGGCUAGCGUUGCUCGGAAUCACUGGGCGUAAAGGGCGCGUAGGCGGCCAUUCAAGUCAGAGGUGAAAGCCCAAGGCUCAACCUUGGAAUUGCCUUUGAUACUGUUUGGCUUGAGACCGGAAGAGGUAAGUGGAACUGCGAGUGUAGAGGUGAAAUUCGUAGAUAUUCGCAAGAACACCAGUGGCGAAGGCGGCUUACUGGUCCGGUUCUGACGCUGAGGCGCGA